UCUCACAGUCAGAGAGGCUUUGAGCUUGUCAGAUAUCAUAAACUAAGCUACAUUUGUCCUGGUCAGUACUUGAAUGGGAGGCCUCCGAGGCAAGAAAGGAACCUGUGGGAU
rnacentral:rRNA from 1 species